CCUACGGGAGGCAGCAGUGAGGAAUAUUGGUCAAUGGGCGCGAGCCUGACCCAGCAACGCCGCGUGAAGGAAGAAGGCUUUCGGGUUGUAAACUUCUUUUCUCAGGGACGAAGAAAGUGACGGUACCUGAGGAAUAAGCCACGGCUAACUACGUGCCAGCAGCCGCGGUAAUACGUAGGUGGCAAGCGUGAUCCGGAUUUAUUGGGUGUAAAGGGCGUGUAGGCGGGAGCGCAAGUCAGAUGUGAAAACUCAGGGCUCAACCCUGAGCCUGCAUUUGAAACUGUGUUUCUUGAGUGCUGGAGAGGCAAUCGGAAUUCCGUGUGUAGCGGUGAAAUGCGUAGAUAUACGGAGGAACACCAGUGGCGAAGGCGGAUUGCUGGACUGUAACUGACGCUGAGGCGCGAAAGCGUGGGGAGCAAACAGGAUUAGAUACCCGAGUAGUC
rnacentral:rRNA from 1 species